rnacentral:misc_RNA from 1 species
CUGCAGCCCGACCUGAGUGGAGCUCUUUUGUAGUUUUCGUGGUGGAUAAAGUGCCGGCAAAACUACAAAAAGCGGGAACGGAGUGCGGAUAAAGC